GAUAACCCGCNUAAGGGUGGUUGGAUUAGUGGCGAAACGGGUGUAGUAACACGGUGGGCAAUCCUGCCCUUCACGUCGUGGGACAAGCCCUGGAAACGGGGUUCUAAUACCGGAUAACACUCUGUCCCGCAUGGGACGGGGUUAAAAGCUCCGGCGGUGAAGGAUGAGCCCGCGGCCUAUCAGCUUGUUGGUGGGGUAAUGGCCUACCAAGGCGACGACGGGUAGCCGGCCUGAGAGGGCGACCGGCCACACUGGGACUGAGACACGGCCCAGACUCCUACGGGAGGCAGCAGUGGGGAAUAUUGCACAAUGGGCGAAAGCCUGAUGCAGCGACGCCGCGUGAGGGAUGACGGCCUUCGGGUUGUAAACCUCUUUCAGCAGGGAAGAAGCGAAAGUGACGGUACCUGCAGAAGAAGCGCCGGCUAACUACGUGCCAGCAGCCGCGGUAAUACGUAGGGCGCAAGCGUUGUCCGGAAUUAUUGGGCGUAAAGAGCUCGUAGGCGGCUUGUCACGUCGGAUGUGAAAGCCCGGGGCUUAACCCCGGGUCUGCAUUCGAUACGGGCUAGCUAGAGUGUGGUAGGGGAGAUCGGAAUUCCUGGUGUAGCGGUGAAAUGCGCAGAUAUCAGGAGGAACACCGGUGGCGAAGGCGGAUCUCUGGGCCAUUACUGACGCUGAGGAGCGAAAGCGUGGGGAGCGAACAGGAUUAGAUACCCUGGUAGUCCACGCCGUAAACGUUGGGAACUAGGUGUUGGCGACAUUCCACGUCGUCGGUGCCGCAGCUAACGCAUUAAGUUCCCCGCCUGGGGAGUACGGCCGCAAGGCUAAAACUCAAAGGA
rnacentral:rRNA from 1 species